rnacentral:lncRNA from 1 species
UGAAGUGCUUCUCGAGGGAACACUGAUUGAGAGACAUUUCUCAAGUAGGUAAGAGAGUUCGCCCAAUUGUUGGUCUUGAAUUUGACGGCGAGAGGGCGGGAUUUUGUGGAUAACUGAGGCUCGUCAAGUACUUCAGAAUUGAAAGAGUAAGAUUAUCCGUGGAUAGUUGUAGAAGGAGAAAUAUAAGUAAAGGAAGUUCCCAGACCAAUCGCUCAUUAGAAGUUGAGCAGCUGGCUAUCAGAUCAACCCGUUGGAGAGAACCAUUGUUGUGGCAUCAGUGUUGCAAAGUCCGUGAAGCCAAGG